rnacentral:rRNA from 1 species
AAAAGUCGUAACAAGGUCUCCGUUGGUGAACCAGCGGAGGGAUCAUUACCGAGUUUACAACUCCCAAACCCAAUGUGAACGUUACCAAACUGUUGCCUCGGCGGGGUCACGCCCCGGGUGCGUAAAAGCCCCGGAACCAGGCGCCCGCCGGAGGAACCAACCAAACUCUUUCUGUAGUCCCCUCGCGGACGUAUUUCUUACAGCUCUGAGCAAAAAUUCAAAAUGAAUCAAAACUUUCAACAACGGAUCUCUUGGUUCUGGCAUCGAUGAAGAACGCAGCGAAAUGCGAUAAGUAAUGUGAAUUGCANAAUUCAGUGAAUCAUCGAAUCUUUGAACGCACAUUGCGCCCGCCAGUAUUCUGGCGGGCAUGCCUGUCCGAGCGUCAUUUCAACCCUCGAACCCCUCCGGGGGAUCGGCGUUGGGGAUCGGGACCCCUCACCGGGUGCCGGCCCUGAAAUACAGUGGCGGUCUCGCCGCAGCCUCUCCUGCGCAGUAGUUUGCACAACUCGCACCGGGAGCGCGGCGCGUCCACGUCCGUAAAACACCCAACUUCUGAAAUGUUGACCUCGGAUCAGGUAGGAAUACCCGCUGAACUUAAGCAUAUCAAUAA